ACUUAAAUAGCUUAUGGUUUAGAGCGCGACGCUGAAGAUGUCGAUGAGGUAUUUGUGCCUUUAGGUG
rnacentral:tRNA from 1 species